rnacentral:hammerhead_ribozyme from 1 species
GUUCUGAUGAAGAGUCCCAAAGUAGGACGAAACAGCUGUCCAGUAC